GAGUUUGAUCCUGGCUCAGGACGAACGCUGGCGGCGUGCCUAAUACAUGCAAGUCGAGCGAGCUUGCCUAGAUGAUUUUAGUGCUUGCACUAAAUGAAACUAGAUACAAGCGAGCGGCGGACGGGUGAGUAACACGUGGGUAACCUGCCCAAGAGACUGGGAUAACACCUGGAAACAGAUGCUAAUACCGGAUAACAACACUAGACGCAUGUCUAGAGUUUGAAAGAUGGUUCUGCUAUCACUCUUGGAUGGACCUGCGGUGCAUUAGCUAGUUGGUGAGGUAACGGCUUACCAAGGCAAUGAUGCAUAGCCGAGUUGAGAGACUGAUCGGCCACAUUGGGACUGAGACACGGCCCAAACUCCUACGGGAGGCAGCAGUAGGGAAUCUUCCACAAUGGACGAAAGUCUGAUGGAGCAACGCCGCGUGAGUGAAGAAGGGUUUCGGCUCGUAAAGCUCUGUUGGUAGUGAAGAAAGAUAGAGGUAGUAACUGGCCUUUAUUUGACGGUAAUUACUUAGAAAGUCACGGCUAACUACGUGCCAGCAGCCGCGGUAAUACGUAGGUGGCAAGCGUUGUCCGGAUUUAUUGGGCGUAAAGCGAGUGCAGGCGGUUCAAUAAGUCUGAUGUGAAAGCCUUCGGCUCAACCGGAGAAUUGCAUC
rnacentral:rRNA from 1 species